UACGUAGGCAGCAAGCGUUGUUCGGAGUUACUGGGCGUAAAGGGUGUGUAGGCGGUUCCUUAAGUUUGCUGUGAAAUCUCCCGGCUUAACCGGGAGGGUGCGGUGAAUACUGAGGGACUAGAGUACGGGAGAGGAAAGUGGAAUUCCUGGUGUAGCGGUGAAAUGCGUAGAUAUCAGGAGGAACACCGGUGGUGUAGACGGCUUUCUGGACCGUAACUGACGCUGGGACACGAAAGCGUGGGUAGCAAACAGG
rnacentral:rRNA from 1 species